rnacentral:rRNA from 1 species
UACGUAGGCAGCGAGCGUUGUUCGGAAUUACUGGGCGUAAAGAGUGUGUAGGCGGUGUUCCCAGUCUGUUGUGAAAUCUCCCGGCUUAACUGGGAGGGGUCAUGCGAUACUGGCGGGCUCGAGGCCGGUAGGGGGAAGCGGAAUUCCCGGUGUAGUGGUGGAAUGCGUAGAUAUCGGGAGGAACACCAGUGGCGAAGGCGGCUUCCUGGACCGGUUCUGACACUGAGGAGCGAAAGCGUGGGGAGCGAUCCGG